CACGAGCGCGGCCGUGUCCGUGAAAGCUUCUCUAGAGGACUCGCGAUCGCUUCGAAGCGCUCAUCGAUCGCGCCGUCGGAGGAUGAGUUUCGCGAUGCCGCUAACGACGUCGGCCAUAGCCACGCUCGUAAACGCUCGCCGCGCGAAUCCCUCCAUCACGAUUUUAUUGUUUCACGUCCGUGAACGUUACCGUGUGUCAUUGAGCGGGUCGUUAAAAACAAGGGGGGACACAAGGGUAUACGUUUCAGCGUGUAAAUUUGUUUUGAUCGCGAGCUCGCCAAUUCGUCGUCGGGAGGAGAGCGUCGCUGUGUAACACGGUGCGACUAUCCCGUAAAUUCUCGGCCCAAUUAAAAGUUUCUAAUUGUGAUAUCUGCCGCGUUUGAAAGGGGAAGGCGAGAAAACGUAUCGUUGCUUCGAUUCGAACGUGGUUUGCCGUGCUGGAACCUAAUUUCUUCCGUCUUUUUGAGAAGAAAAGAGAAAUUAUUAUUUAGAACGGAGAUUCAUUUCGGUUUAAUUGGGAUGAUGAAUUUGUAUAUCAUGUGAAAGAAUAUGUGCUUAUUAUUGAAUUGAUUGAAUUAAUUUUUAGAUACAGUUUAAAGAUUAAAUAUAUCGAUCAUUGGAUAAUCAAGUGAUAAUGCUUCGCUCUUUAUGCCAAUUUUCGAAUAAAAGAAAAAAUGGCAAGUAACGUUGAAACAAUACGAAUGAUGAUCGAAUAAAGGAAGUUAUGAAAUCCCUUCGAGGCAAAGAGGAAUCAAUCGAAAACUAAUCGAUCAGAAAUUUUUUCAAUUUUUGAUGUAAUCUCAUCUGGAUAUAUUUUUCACGAUAAACCGUGAUAAAACUGAAAGAAGUUAGAACGUUGAUUACAUCUCCUCGUAUAAAUAUAUGAAAGAAAUUUUUAUUUGUAACUUUUUUAUGCUCUACAUGGAUACGAACAUUCAAUAAAAUCAAAACAUAGAUGAAUGUAAUGUAGGAUACGAAUACUUUUGCGAUGGACUAUAUAAUCAAUGCUAAUUAUAGACCAGAUCAAACCAUAUUUUUGCAACCUUGAAUUAAUAAUUGAGAGCUAGAUACAGCAAUUUAUAUUUUCGAAUUUCUACAAUUCAAUGUAAUUAUUCCAAUGAAUAAAAAUGAAUUUUAUGUGAA